UACGUAGGGGGCUAGCGUUGUCCGGAUUUAUUGGGCGUAAAGAGCGUGUAGGCGGCCAGGUAGGUCUGGUGUGAAAACUCGAGGCUUAACCUCGAGAUGUCAUCGGAAACCAUCUGGCUAGAGUCCGGAAGAGGAGAGUGGAAUUCCUGAUGUAGCGGUGAAAUGCGUAGAUAUCAGGAAGAACACCAAUGGCGAAAGCAGCUCUCUGGGACGGCACUGACGCUGAGACGCGAAAGCGUGGGGAGCGAACAGG
rnacentral:rRNA from 1 species